ACCCAGGCGCCGCCUCCUGCAGCACCCGGGCCUGGCGGGCAAGAGGAGGCAGGGGGGUACUUUGCAUCCGUGCCCUGACCUACGGCUCUCCUCUGGGCAGAGUGAAAGUGCUGAUUUUCGGUUCAAAUACUGGACGCACCGUUAGAUGCCGAUGUCCGUGUUAAAGUGCUGCCUGGGCGGUGUGGAACGUGCGCGAGGAACGAGAGCAAGGCGACAGCGGGGGAAGAGACGCUGUGCUGUCUCCAGAGGGGAGGGAUGGAGGGACACCCGGAGCGCAUGAGAGGCGGCAGCAGCAGAGAGCAGAGACACGCGGCGGCGGUCGGGAACCCCUGCCUGAAGCUGUUACCCAGCAAAGAGCAUCAAUUGGUAUAGACAUUCAAGAGGGACUGUGAAGCCUCAGGGCACCUCGGGCUGUCAGCUUUGAUGCAAGUCUGACAACGG